AUGGUCAAUUGGUCAUCUCUAAUUACCCCAUUCUAUUCUAUGAUUCAGCACCUUUUCUUCCAUUUCCCCAGACAAUUGACGCAUUGGCUGACCCAACUGCUCCUCCAAUUAAACAUGCAGCACGAAGCUGACCUCCAAAUGGACGCAUAUCGCGCGCCCGGCCUCUGGCAUUCCGCCGAACACACACCGUGCGCGUGUGCCGGCGGACAUCGACAGCAGCUCAAGAAACAUCAUGGACGGAGCACGCACAGGAGAGACAGGACGCCCAGGAACCCAACAAGCCAUUCAAGAAAGCGGGCACUGACCAUGGCGGCACGACGACGAGAGCGCCCCCCGGCGCAGGAGCGCGGCAACCGCCAUUUCGCCGUAUGCUCCCCUCGAUGGCACAAUUCAGAUGGCGGGGCACCAGAACCGGCUCCGCGACGAGGGGGGCGAGGGGAAUGUGCACUUACGUGCGGAGCACGGCACGUGGGGUGGGGUGGAAGACGGAGACGGCCGUGGCUUUCGCCGGGAAGCGAGGCGGCGUGGGAGGCGGAGAUGCCGCCCGCGGUCGCUGGUCAAGACGGUUCUUCGCGUGGUCGCCAAGGCCGGAAUAUUCCGCCCCACCCGCAUCUCGCUCGGCCCAGUUUGCUCCCGAAGCGGGCUUCAGCUCCAACUCCUCGAGCCCGUAGGCUCGCUUCGCGGCCCGGACACGCCACCCCCAUCGGCUUCGUUCCUCUUUCGCUUUCGUCUUCCUCUCCACCCAAGUCAGUCGCCCUCGCCGCGACGCCCCGCACCGCCGGACACGCCACCUCCGCCGCCGACGCCGCCGACGGGAUCGCCGCGAGCAUGACGCAGGCGGAGGCAGAUGCCGGCAAGGCGGCCAUCCAGCGCGCGCUGCGGGCGCUGCGGCAGCGGCAUCUCGUCGAGGAGGGGGCCCACCGCCCCGCCAUCGAGGCUCUCAACCGGCCCUUCGCCGCCCACGCUUUGGAGUGGAAAGAGAAGGCCGAGAAGAACGAGUUGGAGCUGCAGCAGUGCUACAAGGCUCAAUCCCGGUUGUCUGAGCAGCUCGUUUCCGAGAUAAACGAGGCGAAAACGUCCAAAGUGCUGCUCAAAGAGAAGGAGGCGCUGAUUAUGACUUUGCAGAGUGAACUUCAGCAGACUAGCGAAGAGAACGUACAGCUAAAACAGUCACUUGAAGAGAAGACAAACGCUUUAGAUCUUCUCGUUCAGGAGCACCAGGCGGCUAAAGCCGAACUUGAACGGGUGCUAACAAAACUGAAAGCUGUGGAGCAUGAGAACACGCAGCUGGUCGAGCGAUUGAUGCAAGCGAAGAUGGUGGAGGCAGAGAAGCUUAAUGAGGCCAAUGCGAUGUACGAGGAGAUGGUCCUAAAGCUAAAGGCAGCUGGGCUUGGCGCUGGCGGAAUACAACACCAUGCACAACAAGAAGCUGACGGCGUCAUUCGUCGAUCCGAAGCUGGGUAUGUCGACAUCAUGGAAACACCAAUCCCAUCUACAUGCAGGAUCACCAUCCGUGCUCAUGAUGGUGGGUGUGGAUCUAUAAUAUUCCAGAAUAACACAGAUAAGCUAAUCAGUGGUGGCCAGGAUCAAACUGUCAAGAUAUGGUCUGCACAUACCGGUGCUUUAACCUCCACUCUGCAGGGUUGCUUGGGGACUGUCAACGAUCUUGCUGUGACCAAUGAUAACAAGUUUGUGAUUGCGGCCUGUAGCUCUAACAAGUUGUUUGUAUGGGAAAUUAAUGGGGGGCGUCCUCGUCACACUCUGACUGGCCACACAAAAAAUGUCUGUUCUGUAGACGCAAGCUGGGUGAAAAGUUUGGUCAUUGCUAGUUCAUCCAAUGACCGCACUAUCAAGAUCUGGGACCUCCAGACUGGCUUCUGUAAAAGCACCAUAAUGUCAGCAAGCAACCCCAAUACACUAGCUUUCAUCCAUGGUGAUGCCAUUUGCUCAGGUCAUAGGGAUGGAAGCCUAAAGUUCCACGAUAUCCGCAGUGGAAAAUGCUUUGCCACGGUAGCAGCUCAUGCUGAUGUCAGCUCGAUCUGUGUAACCCGGGGCAAAAACCAUGUUCUUUCAAGUGGGAGAGAGGGUCUGCACAAGCUUUUUGAUGUUAGAAUGCCGACGGAGGUAGUGGAGAUUUGUGGAACAUUCAGGGCCCCGAGUAACAGAUUGGUUGGCACCUGGGGCAGAGCUUGUAUAAGCCCGGAUGAGAACUGCAUAGCGUCUGGCUCCUCUGAUGGGUCUGUUUGCAUAUGGUCGAGAUCGAAGAAUGAGGGGCCGACCAUCCUAGAGGGCCAUUCACUGCCCGUUGUUACAAGUGCAUGGUCUGAGUUUGGACCUCUUGCCACCGCUGACAAGAAUCAUAUUCAUAUAUGGGCUUGA
rnacentral:rRNA from 1 species